rnacentral:rRNA from 1 species
CAUCGCCUCCUGCCACCACUAAUUAUAGGAGGUCCCGCCUGCCCUGUGACCAAAAGUUUAACGGCCGCGGUAUUUUAACCGUGCAAAGGUAGCGCAAUCAAUUGUCUUUUAAAUGGAGACCUGUAUGAAUGGCAUAACGAGGGUUUAACUGUCUCUUUUUCCCGGUCAAUGAAACUGAUCUACCCGUGCAGAAGCGGGUAUUUACACACAAGACGAGAAGACCCUAUGGAGCUUUAGACGCCAACCAACCACGAAAAGCGGCCGCUGACUGGACCCUUAAACAACGUGAUUAUGGCAUAAGCGUCUUCGGUUGGGGCGACCACGGGAGAUAACAAAGCUCCCGAGUGGAUAGGGGGACACCCUAAAACCCAGAGCCACAGCUCUAAGUCACAAAACAUUUGACCAAUAAUGAUCCGGCUUUAUGCCGACCAACGAACCAAGUUACCCUAGGGAUAACAGCGCAAUCCCCUCCCAGAGUCCAUAUCGACGAGGGGGUUUACGACCUCGAUGUUGGAUCAGGACAUCCUAAUGGUGCAGCCGCUAUUAAGGGUUCGUUUGUUCAACGAUUAAAGUCCUACGUGA